ensembl:misc_RNA 7SK 7SK RNA
GGAUGUAAGGCAACUUGGCUGUGACGCCUGUCACCCAAUGACUCUACUCAUCACCAGGAUGGAUUCGCUGACCGGCUGGCUGGCUGGCUGGGGGUCUUGUUCCUCCCUCACCACUCCACGUGUCCCUGCCAAAGCUGCAAGCUCCGGAGGAGGAUGAUGACACCCAUAGAGACGUUCCCUGUCAGUGUACAGUAGCAGUGCACUCCUGCUAAGUCUCACAGAAGCUGAGUCUGAUAGUGUGCCUGUAAAGAGACACAAGCCUGCCCUCACUUCCUCUCUCUCCAUGGUAUCGUGAGUCAGG